CUAUAUUUUCAGAACUCUACCUCUUGGAACAUUCCCUCUCAGAUUCCAACCACGAUACUGAAAAAACCAAAGCCCAGUCUAGCCAUUUAAAGAGAACACAUGGAAGUAAACCAAGAACCCAGCCAAUAUCCCCAGAAAUUGACAAGAUGAUCCUAAAAUUUAUCUAGAAACACACGGGACACAGAACAGCCAAGAUAAUUUUGAAAAAUAAGAACGAAGGACUCAUACUUCUUGAUUUCAAAACUGACUACAAAGCUACAGUAAUUAACACUGUGUGAGACUGGCAUAAGGAUAUGCAUAUAGAUUGAUAAAAUAAAACUGAGAAGCCCUUGAGAAAUAAACCUUAUAUAUAUGGUCAACUGAUUUUUGACAAUAAUGACAAGAAAAUUCAAUAGGAAAAGAAGUUAUUUCAACAAAUGGUACUGGGACAACUGGAUACACACAUGCAAAAGGAUGAAGUUGGAACCUUACCUCAUACCAUAUGCAAAAAUUAAUGCUAAAUGAGUCAUAGACCUAUAUAUAAGAAUUAGAACUAUAAAACUUAUGGAAGAAAAUAUAGGUGUAAGUCUUUGUGAUUUUGGAUUACACAAUGGUUUCCUAGAAUGACUCUUAAGCACAAGCAACCAAAUCAAUAAGUUGGAUUUCAUCAAAAUUGAAAACUUUUGUGCCUCAAAGGACAUUAUCAAGACAAUGAGAAGAGAACACAUAGAAGAACACACUUACAAAUCAUAUAUCUGAUACAUAUCUGCUUUCCAAAAUAAGUAAAAACUUUUAUAACUCAAUAAUAAAAACACAAGUAACCCAGUUUAAAAAUGGGCAAAAACAAAGUUGUUAAACUUCAUGAGUUACAGAAAAAUGCAAUGAAAAACCAUAGUGAGAUACCAUGUCAUACCCACUAGUGUGGCUAUGAUCCAAAAGACAGAUUAAAUAAUAACUAUUGGCAAACAUGUAGGAGAUUGGAACCUUCACAUAUUCCUGGUAGAAAUGGAAAAUGGUGCAGUCACUUUGGAAGACAAUUUGGCAGUUUCUCAAAAAGUUAAACAUAGAAUUACCAUAUUGAGGAGUAUGGCUGCAGGCCAAAAUCCUAUGUAUUAUCUUUCAGGCAGGACCCUAGACAGUUACAAGGCUUUGCCCGGCAGACCUCAUUGGGGGAAACUGCCAUCUCCACAUCAGACUUGGUACACAGCUAGUAUGUUACAGCUUCUGGAGGGAUUUGCAGCCAAGAACUCACUGCCUGGUCCCUCCACCCCCACUAGCCCUGCUCAUAGGCUUCUCUGCUUUCCUAGCUCAGGCACUUCCAUUCAGAGGCUUCAGUUCAGGCCCUUUUCAGGAGUCCCAGUUGAGACCUCCUUAGGGAGGGCUUGGCUGAGGCAGUGCUUUCAGCUACUAGUGAUACUUCUCCAUGUUGAAUGAAUAGUUACAUACAUCGUAAAAGUAUAAAAACAUACUUUUUCCAGAUAGUGGAAAACUUCCAGAUAGUGGUUACCUCUGGGUAGGAAGGGGAAGUAGGAUGAAGAGGAGCCUUCAAUUGACUCCGUAACAUUAUUUCUUCAAAAAACUUUUCCUGGCCAGGCGCAGCGGCAAAUGCCUGUAAUCCCAGCAAUUUGGGAGGCUGGGGCAGGUGGAUCACCUGAGGUCAAGAGUUCAAGACCAGCCUGACCAAUAUGGUGAAACCCCGUCUCUACUAAAAAUACAAAAAUUAGCCAGGCAUGGUGGCCGGUGCCUGUAGUCCCAGCUACUCUGGAGGCUGAGACGGGAGAAUUACUUGAACCUGAGAGGCAGAGGUGGCAGUGAGCCGAGAUCAUGCCACUGCACUCCAGCCUGGGCGACAGCGAGACUCCGUCUCAAAAAAACAAAACAAAACAAAACAAAAACCUUUUCUUAAGAAUAUAUAAUAAAGCCAUAAUGUAGUAAAACCUAGUAUGCAUAAAUGGGUAUUUGUUACACAUAUGAAAUAUUUCAUAAUACAAAAGAAUGAAAAACAUCGAAAUAAUUCUUAGCCCCAGGUGGUGAAAUUAUAUGUGAUUGUGAUUUUAGUUUUUUCUUGAUAUGUAUAUACAUUUUUUCAAACUCUUCCAACCAACAUGAAUUUCUUUUAUAAUGAUAAUAAAUAAUACAUGUGUUUCACAAAGAGGUAUUACUACCCAUAACUUUACUUAAGCA
rnacentral:lncRNA from 1 species